CAGCACCUCAAGUGGUCAGGAUGAUUAUUGGGCCUAAAGCAUCCGUAGCUUGCUUUGUCAGUUUUCGGUUAAAUCCAUACGCUCAACGUAUGGGCUGCCGGGAAUACUGCAAGGCUAGGGAGUGGGAGAGGUAGACGGUACUCGGUAGGAAAGGGUAAAAUCCUUUGAUCUAUUGAUGACCACCUGUGGCGAAGGCGGUCUACCAGAACACGUCCGACGGUGAGGGAUGAAAGCUGGGGGAGCAAACCGGAUUAGAUACCCGAGUAGUCC
rnacentral:rRNA from 1 species